CUCCAGAGAGGCCCUGGAGGACUGAUGUGGUAGAAGGGUUUCGUGUGAACAGCCGUUGCACACGAGUCAGUCGAUCCUAAGCCCUAGGAGAAAUCCGAAGUCGAUGCGCGAGUCUUGCUAUGCUUUUUGCCCUGUGCGAAAAACAAACAGAGGUGCAGACCGCCGUCGGGCGAAAGGGAAUCCGGUUCCUAUUCCGGAACCCAGCAUCGGAACCGUUCCAAUCGGGCCCUUAAAGCUCGUCAGGGUAACCUAACAUGCCCCGGAGACGCCGUCGGGAGCUGCCGGGAGAGUUAUCUUUUCUGUAUAAGUGCGCACACCCCCUGGAAGCCUCUAGCAGGGAGAUAGGGGGCAGCGCGCGAAGAGCAUCGCACUUGCGGCGAUGUCGGCAGCGUCCUCUCGGACCUUGAAAAUCCGGGUGAGGGCCACGUGGACAUCCGAUCUGGUUCGUACCCAUAUCCGCAGCAGGGCUCCAAGGUGA
rnacentral:ncRNA from 1 species